CGACCCUUCACAACUUUGUGC
rnacentral:misc_RNA from 1 species